CAGGAGAAUGAAACGAAGGAAUGAUAAACGGCGGCCGGAAAAGUGCUUCCCCCAUAAGCGCUUCUGCACUAUUCGAAAUCCUCAGGAUAAACAAGAAAUCGAUUCGCUCGCGGUAUUCAAUCCACUCUCAAACAACGAAUCGAAACAUCCUCGCAUACGAUUAGAGAAGUUAAAAGGAGAAAGAGGACCUACCAGUUCACGUUCGCGCCUCCGACUUGUCUCUAUCGCUUCCGAUUCGCGUUUGUGAUGAAGAAUGAAAGAUCGUUGCUGAUUCGUGACGAAGAUUGCGAAGAGGUCGACAAAGGAUGAAGAUGCUGAUACGUUCGUGACGAAGACGAUCUUCCGCCGCUGAUGGAGAGUGAAAUCGAUGAUGCUUUUCUUUCCCCGGAGAAAACGCGAAUGGUUCUUGGAGGUUCGAAAAUGGAGGGUUAGGUUUGUUGAAUGAAUGGAAGUUAUGAAGGUUGAUGUUCAAUGGUGGUUGGUUGAAGCGAUUGUGAAGUCAUGGUUGUUAGAACGGUUGAGGGUUGUGAGAAGUGGUGGAGUUGAUGGUGGUUUGAAGGUUGGUUGAUGAUGGUUGAAGAUGAUGGAGUGAAGUUUUGGUUGAAGAAGAAGAAUCUCGGUUGGGAAGAGGAAGUUGAAGUGGUGGUUCUUGAUGUUGAAGAUUGGAGAAGAAAGUGAAGGUUACGGUUACGGUGAUAGAAGGUGAAGACUAUGGAGUUUGGUGAAGGAAUUGAAGAGAGGAAGCAGAAACCGAAUUUGAGAGAGGGAAGGAGAAUUUAUAGAGUUUGAGUUUUUUUGGUUAUAGUUUGUUAGUUAGUUGUGAAUGAAAAAUUCUGUUAUGGAUUGGUGAUGGCUCGCGUUUAGCUGCGGUUUACCGGCUUAAUUUGCUUUUGCUGGAGCUUAUUGCUUAUGCCUCUUUCACAUUAUGCAGAAUUUUGGUUUUGUA